UGGGGAAUUGUUCGCAAUGGGCGCAAGCCUGACGACGCAACGCCGCGUGGAGGAUGAAGGUCUUCGGAUCGUAAACUCCUGUUGACCGGAAAGAAUGGCUCCCAGGUGAAUACCCUGGGGGAAUGACGGUACCGGUUGAGGAAGCCACGGCUAACUCUGUGCCAGCAGCCGCGGUAAUACAGAGGUGGCAAGCGUUGUUCGGAAUUACUGGGCGUAAAGGGCGCGUAGGCGGCCGCCUAAGUCAGACGUGAAAUCCCCCGGCUUAACCUGGGAACUGCGUCUGAUACUGGGUGGCUUGAGUUCGGGAGAGGGAUGCGGAAUUCCAGGUGUAGCGGUGAAAUGCGUAGAUAUCUGGAGGAACACCGGUGGCGAAGGCGGCAUCCUGGACCGAAACUGACGCUGAGGCGCGAAAGCUAGGGGAGCAAACGG
rnacentral:rRNA from 1 species